AUUCGGGUUGAUAACUAGGCGGCGCUCUCGAUCAUUAAAACCACUCUACGACGCCCGCCCUUUAAAUACCCGAUAGAUUAUUUUUUGGCGUUGAUCUUACAAGUUUCCUGUCUUAUUUUUUACUGUGGUUGGUAACAUUUAAUUCAUCGCCACAUUA
rnacentral:snoRNA from 1 species